rnacentral:rRNA from 1 species
AUUGAACGCUGGCGGCAUGCUUUACACAUGCAAGUCGAACGGUAACAGGGAAAAGCUUGCUUUUCUGCUGACGAGUGGCGAACGGGUGAGUAACACAUCGGAACGUGCCCUGUAGUGGGGGAUAACUACUCGAAAGAGUGGCUAAUACCGCAUACAACCUGAGGGUAAAAGUGGGGGACCGCAAGGCCUCACGCUAUAGGAGCGGCCGAUGGAAGAUUAGGUAGUUGGUAGGGUAAAGGCCUACCAAGCCGACGAUCUUUAGCGGGUCUGAGACGGAAGACCCCCCCAACUGGGACUGGAGACACGGCCCAGACUCCUACGGGAGCAGCAGUGAGGAAUAUUGGACAAUGGAUGGAAAUCUGAUCCAGCCAUGCCGCGUGCAGGAAGACGGCCCUAGUGGGUUGUAAACUGCUUUUAAUGGGACAAUAAGGUUUACGAGUAGACCGAUGAGAGUACCAUAUGAAUAGCAUCGGCUAACUCCGUGCCAGCAGCCCGGUAAA